UACGAAGGGGGCUAGCGUUGCUCGGAAUCACUGGGCGUAAAGGGUGCGUAGGCGGGUCUUUAAGUCAGGGGUGAAAUCCUGGAGCUCAACUCCAGAACUGCCUUUGAUACUGAGGAUCUUGAGUUCGGGAGAGGUGAGUGGAACUGCGAGUGUAGAGGUGAAAUUCGUAGAUAUUCGCAAGAACACCAGUGGCGAAGGCGGCUCUCUGGACCGGUACUGACGCUGAACUGCGAAAGCCAGGGGAGCAAACGGG
rnacentral:rRNA from 1 species